GAGAGGGAUAGCACCCACAUUUUGGCUAGGUUCAAAUUUCAGUUGCCCAUACAGUGGUAUCUCAGGUUAAGUACUUAAUUCGUUCUGGAGGUCCGUUCUUAACCUGAAACCGUUCUUAACCUGAGGUACCACUUUAGCUAAUGGGGCCUCCUGCUGCUGCCACACGAUUUCUGUUCUCAUCCUGAAGCAAAGUUCUUAACCAGAGGUACUAUUUAUGGGUUAGCAAAGUCAGUAACCUGAAGCAUCUGUCUGUAACCCAAGAUACCACUGUAUUUAUUUAUUUCUUAAAAUGUAUACACUGCUCGACUGUAAAACAGAGUUUACGGAAAGGGAUAGCUUAUUCCAGAGACAGCCUCCAUCUUCAGCAGAGACCCCAUCCCAUUCCAAAACAAACUUUCAUGGCAGGGCUAGCUAAUUUGGUUUACUUUGGAUUCCCAUCAGCUCCAGACAGCAAGGGAUGAUGGGAGCCUUAGGCCAGCAGGUUGUCCACCCCAGCAGUAGGGUUCCCAGAGUUCCUGGGCAGGUUUGCUGGUCCUCAGUCUCAGUUCACCACCUGUAAAAUGGGCGUCAUUCUUUCCACUGCUGCUCUAUGGGAAAAUUAUUGGCAUGGCUUCAUUCUUGCCUUGUUUAUACUGGGUGGUGCUCAACUAAGUUUUACUCUAUUGAUAUAAACGAACACGACUAAAGUUAGGUCCAUUAAUUUCAAAAGGCGUACUCUGAGUAAAACCUAGUUGAAUACCACUCACAUUUUAUAAACCAGCAUUUCUGCAUUUAACAUAUAUUCAAGGCAGUCCCCCCUCCUCCUAUAAGGAUCUUAAAUGUGGAGUUAAAAGUAUGCUGUUAAGUUUUUGGCUCAUCAGGUAUUGCAAUUUUUGAGUUUCAUGGUUUGUUUGCAUUUACGUACUUGUUAACCUUUUUACAAACUGCUUAGGGACAGUUUUAAGCAGUCUAUAAACAUACAAAAUCAAUUAAUAAAAGCAGCCUGAAACUGUUUGACAACACAGUCUUCCGGAGGCAAGUGCUGUGUCUAUUACCUGUCUUUUAGUAGAUUUUUAAAAAAUAUUGUUUUAAUUAAUUCCAUUAGGGUUACUUUCUAACAAUUGCCUUUUAUGUUUUUUUAGCUUUUUGCAUUUUAUCUAUGUCCUUUUAAGUUCUAUAAGUCACCUUGGGGGAAAGGCAGGAUGAUGGUGAUGAUGAUGUUGAUGAUAAUAAUAAUAAAAAGUCAAAACUAUAUUUAUUUACUUUAAAAAAAAACAACAAGACAAUUAAGACACACACACACAGAGACACAUCUUUUCCUUCACCAAAUUAGUGUUUCUCUAAAUGUCCUAAACUUCUACCAUCCUUGGUUUUUUUUUUUAAAACAACAACACACUUUUUAAUCUUUUGAUUUCAAACCAUGCUUUUAUCAUUUCAGGAGUUGUGCAAGAGCAUGCGGACCAGAGACAAAAAGGAAGGCAAACCCGUCCUGCAAUUUCUCAAACGUGGCAAAGCCUUUGGGCGCCGUGCUGAUGAAACAGGCUAGCAGGCAACCUCACAGAG